rnacentral:tRNA from 1 species
UCCCUAGUGACGCAGAUGGUAAAGAACCUGCCUGCAAAGCGGGAGACCCGGGUUCGAUCCCUGGGUAGGGAA